rnacentral:lncRNA from 1 species
AAAUUGAGUGUUGGAUGAUUGUUUUGUGCUUAAAUUGUUUUAUCUUGUGAAAUAUGUUACUUUCUCGUACUUUGAUGAAUUUUACAGAAAUAUGGAGUUCGAAUUUGGACUGUUGAUCUUAAUGAAAGUUGUAGUUCGUCUCGAUACGAGUUCGUAGGCGCAAACGGUUCGCAAAUCCGAGUUCGGACGAGGAAGAUAUGGCCGAAACAAGAAAGUCGCGCACAGCAGUGAAUAGUGCCCGAUGGGAAUUUCCGAAUUUUCGGGAUUUUGCGAGAUUUUCGGAUUUUAUCAGUAUUUUCGAGCUCUGUACUGUAUUUAUCUCCUGUGCCUAUAUAUAGGUCCUUUCCCUGACCUAUUAGACACAUCUUUUCAUAUCUCUUUACCUCUCUUUAUUUCUUUUCUUCUUUUAUUCUUUUUAUUUUUAGACUUAGCUUUAUUUUUCCUGCAAGAUUUCAGCUGUCAUUCAAUAUUCAUUCCGGGUUUUA